GGGCAGGGGGCAAUGGGGAGUCACGUGAGGUGCCUCUGGGGGGCCCCUCCAGGCAGUGGGGCCCCCAGACAACUGUCUCCCUUUGCCCGAUCGUUGUUACGCGUGUGAGGACAGAGCAAAACUGUCAAAAUGGAUUAACUGAAAAAGACCCAGGUUGAUAAAUUCUAGUAUGAUCGGAAGUGAGGCCCAAUCAGUCUUAUGCUUUUCCAUGAAAUAGUUUUUUUAUUGGGUGGCGGUUGUGGUACCUCCCUACAGAGAGGUGAUUCUCACAACCGCAGGAAAGCGGGCUAAGGGAGCCUAGCCCGUUUUCCUGCAGUCAUGUGCUGCAACAGGAGCUGUACACUAACCCCGUUCAUCUGAUCAUGAGACACCGCAGCAUGGCUCCGUGCCAUGGCAACUCAUGAGGAGACCCCCAACCGGGAGGCUAACACAAGCCUCCUGCCCUCGGGAGUCUCCCCAAGAUGCCCCAUGCAGGAUGCCCCAUGGCCUCGGGGGUCUCCCCAGGAUGCUCCAUCCUGGGACUUCCGGGGGCCAGGUGGCCCUGAUCUCUCUGCUGCCCCUACCAGCUCUGCCCAGGGACAGCUCCCUGCUUGUCUGCGAGGAGAGCGGACUAAGGCUCUACCACACUCCCGGUAAGGCUCUCUACACGGCUUGUGUGGAGAGCCUCCGAGUCUUCCACCCAUCUCAUGGUCAGCAUCAAAUACUGGGAAGCUAUUCACAUGGUCCAGUGAACAAAGGAAUCAUUAUAACCAGGCUCGACCAACCUGCAGAGCUGCAGCCUGAAGGAGCCGCUCACAGGCUAGCCUGCUAUCCAAAGGCUCCCUGCACAAGAAGAGAUGUUGCUACAGCUCCCUUCCCCAGAUGGACUCUCAGCUGUUCAGCAGUUCCACAUUCACAGUGACUCUUGAGUUUCCCUAAUCAAAGUGACCAUGACAGAGGGAGAGAACAAGCACGCUUCCAAUGCGUCAUCUUCAGACCAUUUCUCUCAUCACUUGGCCUGGGCCGAGACACCUACUGGUAGCAGCAGGGUGGCAGGAAGGCAACAAGCUUCUUGUUUGAAAUAACAUUCACGGUGCGCAUGAUGGAUCUUAACUGAAGGCAGUCUUCCAAAUGAAGUCUAUGUCAGUCAACAGAAGAGAUCUGCUUUUACCUUUUGACAUACCUUGCACUCAGGAGGAUUUUUUUUUCCCCCAGAGGGGGGUGGGAAAAGAGGGUAUGGGCCACAGUUUUAAUAUCUCAUUCUCUGAAAAUGCUUGCAUCCGUAAUAAUGUAUUUUUGUACUGUACAGUAUCUGUUGUUUUCUCCUUGCCUCACUGGAAAUCACCCAAUAAACCUGUUUUUUUUCUGCGUUUUUGUUGUUGUUCAGGGAUUUUAAAAAAAAAUUAAAGAUACAGUUGCAAUGAAUAA